rnacentral:rRNA from 1 species
CAGUAGCCGCGGGAAUACGUAGGUGGCGAGCGUUGUCCGGAAUCAUUGGGCGUAAAGGGAGCGCAGGCGGGCAUGUAAGUCUUUCUUAAAAGUUCGGGGCUCAACCCCGUGAUGGGAAAGAAACUACAUGUCUUGAGUACAGGAGAGGAAAGCGGAAUUCCCAGUGUAGCGGUGAAAUGCGUAGAUAUUGGGAGGAACACCAGUGGCGAAGGCGGCUUUCUGGACAAAACUGACGCUGAGGCGCGAAAGCCAGGGGAGCGAACGGGAUUAGAUACCCGCGUAGUCCCUGUCUCUUAUACAC